rnacentral:rRNA from 1 species
UACGGUGGUUAGAGCGUAAUGGACCCACCCGUUCCCAUUCCGAACACGGAAGUGAAACUUUACAGCGCCGACGAUACUGCAUCUGCGAGGAUGUGGGAAAAUAAGUCACUGCCAAUU